UAGGGAAUCUUCGGCAAUGGGGGGAACCCUGACCGAGCAACGCCGCGUGAGUGAAGAAGGUUUUCGGAUCGUAAAGCUCUGUUGUUAAGGAAGAACGAGUGUGAGAAUGGAAAGUUCAUACUGUGACGGUACUUAACCAGAAAGGGACGGCUAACUACGUGCCAGCAGCCGCGGUAAUACGUAGGUGGCAAGCGUUGUCCGGAUUUAUUGGGCGUAAAGCGAGCGCAGGCGGUCAAUUAAGUCUGAUGUGAAAGCCCCCGGCUCAACCGGGGAGGGUCAUUGGAAACUGGUGGACUUGAGUGCAGAAGAGGAGAGUGGAAUUCCAUGUGUAGCGGUGAAAUGCGUAGAUAUAUGGAGGAACACCAGUGGCGAAGGCGACUCUCUGGUCUGUAACUGACGCUGAGGCUCGAAAGCGUGGGUAGCAAACAGG
rnacentral:rRNA from 1 species